UAGGAUAGGAUCUGAGAUUCUGCAUUUCCAACAAGCUCCCAGGUGAUGCCAAUGCUGUGGGUCCACGGACCACACAUUGGGUAGCCAGGAUGUAGCACAUGUGUCCUUUGGAACGCCCCUUCUGCCACCAAGCGCUCUCAUUUCCUUUUGGCAGAUGGAGUUGCUCCUUCUCUGUGCUGCACAGAGCCUCCUGGAAGAUUUCUCAUGGGCCUUUUCCCACGUUCGAGUCUAACGAUCUCUGUCCUUGUCAUUCGUCCGUUAGACCAAAGGCCACUCCAGGGCUGGCUGUGGAAGAAUGAAAAAGCAAAAGAGAACAUUCCAGGCCGGUAACUCCAGUAAGACAGUUGCAUGCCGUGCACAGUAACUGUCACCUUCCCCAGUCCAGCAUUACAUGCUGUUGUAAAAACCAGCAGCUUUGCAUCGACAGACCACACUUCUGGCCUUGCCUGGCAGGAGUGUGCUGCUCUGGGAACCUCUAAAACCCUGGACCAGCCCCCACACGCAGGAGAUGUGGAGUUUCCUCUCUCGACUUCACAUGAGCGAAAGAUGAGGACACAGAUAGCUUCAAUGCCCUAAUCACACAGCAAGUUGCAGAACCUGGAUUCGAACCAAGUCAGACCUCACAACCCACGGCCCUUGUCCUUUCUGUGACUUCAAUAUUAUUAAAAUGAACUCUCUAUAAACGGAAGUAGAUACAUUUAUUAUUAUCAUCAUUGCCCUCAUCAUCAUGCAUCAGUCAGCUAUUGCUGCAUAACAAACAUCUACAAAAA